rnacentral:ncRNA from 1 species
GAUGGAGGCGCGUCUGUUAAGAGUAACCUGGUUGCAUCAGGAAAAGCAGUCAGGUAAAAGGGACAGACGCCGAGGGGCCGGAAAGAACCUGUAAUGACCGGUACCCGGGCUGAAGGAUAAGAUCUUUCAGACUGUCGCACCUAGUGCGGAGAGCUGUCAU